rnacentral:rRNA from 1 species
GAUGAACGCUGGCGGCGUGCCUAAUACAUGCAAGUCGAGCGAACGGACGAGAAGCUUGCUUCUCUGAUGUUAGCGGCGGACGGGUGAGUAACACGUGGAUAACCUACCUAUAAGACUGGGAUAACUUCGGGAAACCGUAGCUAAUACCGGAUAAUAUUUUGAACCGCAUGGUUCAAAAGUGAAAGACGGUCUUGCUGUCACUUAUAGAUGGAUACGCGCUGCAUUAGCUAGUUGGGAAGGUAACGGCUUACCAAGGCAACGAUGCAUAGCCGAACUGAGAGGGGGAUCGGCCACACUGGAACUGAGACACGGUCCAGACCCGUACGGGAGGCAGCAGUAGGGAAUCGUCCGCAAUGGGCGAAAGCCUGACGGAGCAACGCCGCGUGAGUGAUGAAGAUCUUCGGAUCGGAAAACUCUGUUAUUAGGGAAGAACAUAUGUGUAAGUAACUGUGCACAUCUUGACGGUACCUAAUCAGAAAGCAACGGCUAACUACGUG